AGAUAAUACCUGAUAGAGGAUAAAUACUGGAAGGUUUUAUUCUUCAAAGCUUCGGCACCUGAGGAUGGGACUGCGUCGGAUUAGCUUGUUGUCGGGAUAAUUACCCGACAAGGCGAUAAUCCGUACGGGUUGUGAGAGCAAUAGCCCGGAGAUGGAUUCUGAGACAUGAAUCCAGGUCCUACGGGACGCAGCAGGCGCGAAACCUUCACAAUGCCUGAAAGGGUGAUGAGGGAACUCUGAGUGACUUCGCAAUGCGAAGUCUUUUGCCAAGUGCAAAAAGCUCGGUGAAUAAGUGGUGGGCAAGACAGUUGCCAGCCGCCGCGGUAAUAACUGCGCCACGAGUGGUGAUCUCGUUUAUUGGGCUUAAAGCGUUCGUAGCCGGUUUUAUAAGCAUCUGGUGAAAUCCGAUAGUAAACUAUUGGGCUGGCUAGGUGUACUGUAAGACUAGGGACCGGUAGGGGCCGGGAGUACUCCUAGGGUAGGGGUUAAAUCCUUUAAUCCUAGGGGGACUACCAGUGGCGAAGGCGCCCGGCUAGAACGGGUCCGACGGUGAGGGACGAAAGCUGGGGGAGCGAUCCGGAUUAGAUACCCGGGUAGUCCCAGCUGUAAACGAUGCCCGCUUGGUGUGGUGAAACUUUCGUGGUUUUGCCGUACCGUAGCGAAA
rnacentral:rRNA from 1 species